GACAGCAGUAGCCGCGGUAAUACAGAGGGUGCGAGCGUUAAUCGGAUUUACUGGGCGUAAAGCGUGCGUAGGCGGCUUUUUAAGUCGGAUGUGAAAUCCCUGAGCUUAACUUAGGAAUUGCAUUCGAUACUGGGAAGCUAGAGUAUGGGAGAGGAUGGUAGAAUUCCAGGUGUAGCGGUGAAAUGCGUAGAGAUCUGGAGGAAUACCGAUGGCGAAGGCAGCCAUCUGGCCUAAUACUGACGCUGAGGUACGAAAGCAUGGGGAGCAAACAGUAUUAGAGACCCGAGUAGUCCCUGUCUCUUAUAC
rnacentral:rRNA from 1 species